rnacentral:snRNA from 1 species
CCAAAUAAAACAUACAAAUUAAG